rnacentral:sRNA from 1 species
GCCAGGUGCAGUGGUGCACACCUGUAAUCCCAGCAGCUUGGGAGGCUGAGACAGGAGGAUCUCAGAGUUCAAAUCCAGCCUCAG